GACGAACGCUGGCGGCGCGCCUAACACAUGCAAGUCGAACGAGUGAGAGAGAGCUUGCUUUCUCGAGCGAGUGGCGAACGGGUGAGUAACGCGUGAGAAACCUGCCUCAAAGAGGGGGACAACAGUUGGAAACGACUGCUAAUACCGCAUAAGCCCACAGGUCGGCAUCGACCAGAGGGAAAAGGAGCAAUCCGCUUUGAGAUGGCCUCGCGUCCGAUUAGCUAGUUGGUGAGGUAACGGCCCACCAAGGCAACGAUCGGUAGCCGGACUGAGAGGUUGAACGGCCACAUUGGGACUGAGACACGGCCCACACUCCUACGGGAGGCAGCAGUGGGGAAUAUUGCACGGUGGGGGAAACCCUGAUGCAGCGACGCCGCGUGGAGGAAGAAGGUCUUCGGAUUGUAAACUCCUGUUGUUGAGGAAGAUAAUGACGGUACUCAAAAGGAAGUGACGGCUAACUACGUGCCAGCAGCCGCGGUAAAACGUAGGUCACAAGCGUUGUCCGGAAUUACUGGGUGUAAAGGGAGCGCAGGCGGGAAGACAAGUUGGAAGUGAAAUCUAUGGGCUCAACCUAUAAACUGCUUUCAAAACUGUUUUUCUUGAGUAGUGCAGAGGUAGGCGGAAUUCCCGGUGUAGCGGUGGAAUGCGUAGAUAUCGGGAGGAACACCAGUGGCGAAGGCGGCCUACUGGGCACCAACUGACGCUGAGGCUCGAAAGUGUGGGUAGCAAACAGGAUUAGAUACCCUGGUAGUCCACACCGUAAACGAU
rnacentral:rRNA from 1 species